rnacentral:rRNA from 1 species
ACAUUGAAAACCUUAUUUAAACUACUUUCCUUUAAAACUUUGCAGGCUUUUAGUCUCAAAGUAGUGCCAAACGUGACAACUUCUAACGGUGGAUCUCUUGGCUCGUGCAUCGAUGAAGAACGUAGCCAGUUGCGAUAAGUAGUGUGAAUUGCAGAAUUCAGUGAAUCAUCGAAUCUUUGAACGCAAAUUGCGCUCUCUGGAUAUCCAGGGAGCAUGUCUGUCUGAGUGUCGUGUUAAAACCUACACACAGUUUGUGUGGCUUGGGAGCUCAGGUGACUCGUUUCACUUGUCUCUCGAAGUAUCUGAACCCGAUUUAGUGCAUGUUAAGUACUGAACGGAAGGCUCAACUUGCUCCUGUCCUUACGUCAGUGCUUGCAUCUCUAUGUAAAGGUUCUCUUUUCAGUGUAAGCUGAAAAAUUACCAUCUUUGACCUCAGAUCAGGCAAGACUACCCGCUGAAUUUAAGCAUAUCAAUAAGCGGAGGAAAUCGAUCCCCCCGUUCACUUCC